rnacentral:tRNA from 1 species
GCCGAGGUAGCUCAGCUGGUUAGAGUGCUCGACUCAUAAUCGAGAGGUCGGGGAUUCGAGUUCCCCCCUCGGCA